rnacentral:rRNA from 1 species
UACGUAGGUGACUAGCGUUGUCCGGAUUUACUGGGCGUAAAGAGCGCGCAGGCGGUCGUUCAAGUCGAGUGUGAAAGCCCCCGGCUCAACUGGGGAGGGUCACUUGAUACUGAUCGACUCGAAGGCAGGAGAGGGAAGUGGAAUUCCCGGUGUAGUGGUGAAAUGCGCAGAUAUCGGGAAGAACACCCGUGGCGAAGGCGGCUCUCUGGGACGGUACUGACGCUGAGACGCGAAAGCGUGGGGAGCGAACAGG